rnacentral:rRNA from 1 species
UACCAGCACCCCGAGUGGUCGGGACGAUUAUUGGGCCUAAAGCAUCCGUAGCCGGUCCUGCAAGUCUUCCGUUAAAUCCAGCUGCUCAACAGAUGGGCUGCGGAGGAUACUACAGGGCUAGGAGGCGGGAGAGGCAAGCGGUACUUUAUGGGUAGGGGUAAAAUCCGUUGAUCCAUAGAAGACCACCAGUGGCGAAGGCGGCUGACUGGACAUGUAUUGACGCUGAGGUGCGAAAGCGUGGGGAGCAAACAGG